CAGUACCUUCUCUGGGAUGACACUACCCUUCAGUACCUCGUUGUGAAGAGGAGUGUCCUCGCAGUGAAGGUCUUCGC
rnacentral:pre_miRNA from 1 species